CCGCCACAUCACGUUGCAACCCCAGUUCCUUUAUGAUCACCGAAGUUAAGCAACGUCGAGUCUGAUCAAUACCUCGAUGGGUGAUCGUUUGGGAAUACCAGGUGCUGUA